GGGGCUGAUUCUGGAUUCGACGGGAUUUGCGAAACCCAAGGUGCAUGCCGAGGGGCGGUUGGCCUCGUAAAAAGCCGCAAAAAUAGUCGCAAACGACGAAAACUACGCUUUAGCAGCUUAAUAACCUGCUUAGAGCCCUCUCUCCCUAGCCUCCGCUCUUAGGACGGGGAUCAAGAGAGGUCAAACCCAAAAGAGAUCGCGUGGAAGCCCUGCCUGGGGUUGAAGCGUUAAAACUUAAUCAGGCUAGUUUGUUAGUGGCGUGUCCGUCCGCAGCUGGCAAGCGAAUGUAAAGACUGACUAAGCAUGUAGUACCGAGGAUGUAGGAAUUUCGGACGCGGGUUCAACUCCCGCCAGCUCCACCA
rnacentral:tmRNA from 1 species